rnacentral:rRNA from 1 species
AUACGGAGGGUGCAAGCGUUAAUCGGAAUUACUGGGCGUAAAGCGUACGUAGGCGGUUCGUUAAGUUAGAUGUGAAAGCCCCGGGCUUAACCUGGGAACUGCAUUUAAAACUGGCGAACUAGAGUUGAGUAGAGGGGAGUGGAAUUUCAGGUGUAGCGGUGAAAUGCGUAGAGAUUUGAAGGAACACCAGUGGCGAAGGCGACUCCCUGGACUCGAACUGACGCUGAGGUACGAAAGCGUGGGUAGCAAACGGGAUUAGAAACCCUAGUAGUCC